AUCUUCUCCUCUGCAAGGGCAUCCCGACCACCAGGUUCCGUUCCCAUCACUUUCUUCUUGUGGAAAACAUGAUUAUGUCCACUCCGACAAAUGGAUUUGUCGGGCAGGUUUCUCUGUCCAGUCAGAUCUACUCCGCUGACGGGAACAACUAGCUACUACAACAUGUAGAUGUGAUUAAUGGCUUGUUGCAAGCUUAUUCAUGCCAACAACGUGUUCGGUGAAAUCCCAACAAGGAUAUAAAUGUGAAUGAGAAGUUUCUUUUUCCCAUUACUUGGUAUUACUUUGAUCUAUUGAUUUCUUCCAAAAUAGUACAGUAGUAAAUUUAAAUCAGAUAGUGGGUUUUCGCUUCAAAAUAGUAAAUUUAUAGUCACCAGUAAUAAUAAAUCAGAUUUUUUUGAACUUUUGCUAUUAGAAUAUCAGUCUAGAAAUAUUGUGUGUUGUUUCUAGCUUGGAGAUUCAUGAAGACGAUAUAUCUUAUCACUUGGAGUUUGUUAUUGUUUUUAUAUGAGGAAAAAUAUUUUUGAUAAGAUUAGUGAGAAGAAAAUAUUAUCAAUAAUCUUGCAAAGAGUUCAAUAGAUGCCUUCCCUGCUGCAGUAACUGGUUUAUCCAUGGAGAUUUCAAGCCUUCUAAUAUAUUCUUGCCAUCCUUGUCUGAAGUUGUGAGCUUUAGUUUCAAAUGACAGAUCCCAAGAUGUGCCAAAUUAUCUGUAAAAAAGUUGGUACCAAGAAAGAAGGGAAGGAGCUCAAGGAAAAAAAUUAGGAUGAAUAUCACAUGAACUCUGGGAUAGAACAUGGCACCAUGACCUGUUCAACGAGCAAAGAGAGGAAACACGGACGAAAUGCCAAUGCAUAAAGAUGGACAAUUGCUGAAAAUACGUUGCACUCGGCGUGCCGUGGCAGUGCACGGGCAAAACGGCUAGUAGUGUGUAAAUAUGUGCUGAAAGUAAAUAUAUCUGUGUAAUUAAAAUGUACACUGGCACGACAACCAUGAAAAAUCGAACAUCAUAUGUAUCUGCUACACUCCAAGUUGCCAAGAAAGUUUGCCACUUCCAUU